rnacentral:rRNA from 1 species
GUAGGGAGCAAGCGUUAUCCGGAUUUACUGGGUGUAAAGGGCGCGCAGGCGGGAAGACAAGUUGGGAGUGAAAUCCGGGGGCUCAACCCCCGAACUGCUUUCAAAACUGUUUUUCUUGAGUGAUGGAGAGGCAGGCGGAAUUCCCAGUGUAGCGGUGAAAUGCGUAGAUAUUGGGAGGAACACCAGUGGCGAAGGCGGCCUGCUGGACAUUAACUGACGCUGAGGCGCGAAAGCGUGGGGAGCAAACAGGAUUAGAUACCCUGGUAGUCCACGCCGUAAACGAUGGAUACUAGGUGUGGGAGGUAUUGACCCCUUCGUGCCGGCGUUAACACAAUAAGUAUCCCACCUGGGGAGUACGAUCGCAAGGUUG